GGUGGGGUGAGAUAAAAGGUACGCAUGCGCACUCGCUUGCUCGCCGCUGGGCACAACCACCACGCGGGGCGUCGAGUCGGGGUCACGUGACCCGCCCUAGCGACCGCGCCCCGCGGGGGUUUUCAGGCGCUUCCCGGCCUGAGGGGAAGCAAAAGACUGCUGUCUCCAAAAAGUAACUUCUUCAAGGUCAGAAUCUUGGCAGUCUUCUUCCUGGUUGAAUCUUUAAAAAGAUAGGCUCCAUGCCCAACGUGGGGCUAGAACUCAGGACCCCAAGAUCAAGAAUCACAUGUUCCACAGACUAGGGCAGCCAGGUGCCACUGCACUUUGAUUUUUAACACCUUCCAGACUUUUAGGACCUGGCAGCUGGAUUCUUUUCAGCAGAGGAAAAGAAAGGAGGUGCCCAAGACAGAAAUGACAGUUUUUUAUAACCUACCCUUGGAGGUGACAUCCAUCACUUCAGCUGUAUUCUAUUCACUGGAGGCAAGUCAGAAAACUGCUGUUUGGAAACAGACCCUGGCUGUGGCCUGUGGGGGCACCAGGGAAGUUGUUGGCUGAGCUGAGGAUAAACACCAGCGAUUCUAUUCUCAGUGACUGACUUCAACAUGAAUGCCAAUGCUUAUGACCGGAAAUCAGAUGAUGCAACGCAAAGCAGGAGCAUCAGAUUUUCAGAUGACAUGGGGCUUCAGGUGACAGCCAAGCCACUGGUUUGCCAGCCUGGAUGGGUGCAGCCCUGAGAAGAACCUGCAUCCCUCCUGUCCACGUGGGGGCGCGCUCCGGCUCAGCCUGGAAACGCGGGGAGCUGAAGUUCCAACGUUACACGCAUCAGGUGUGGACAGCAGUUGGGGGUUGAGGCCUCAGUCUCUCCGCCCUGCACCCAGCCCCCUGACCUGUAGCCUGCAUGGUCCCUCAGGUGACUGCACCAGCCCCGGUUAAGCUGACCGCCAGCGGCACACGGCACAAACCUGCUGGGCUCCUCAAGAGAACCCUCUGCUGGUCCUUCUGCGAGCCCUGUCUCAUUUCACGACCUCACAGAGCUUCCUGGAAUCACCUCCUGGGGCGGUGAUGAGACUCCAUUACCAGUGAGCUCAGGCAUCUUUUCAAGUGUUCAUAAGGACCAUUUCCGCAUCAUCUUCUGUGAGUGGAAUCUUCUAUGAGAGUCUGUGGAUAUUUAACGUGUCUUUCUCAGAGCAUCCUAAUCCCAUCCGGUAGUGGCCACUUGUGUUCUGUGUUAUCAGUCUCCUGUGAAGUCAGAUUCACAGCCUUUGACCUAAAGGAAGCCAACAGGUGGACUCCUCCGGGCCAUGCUGAUUGGUUGAGGACAGGGCUCAUGACCCAUGAAGGGUCAGCCAGAGAAAACAAGUCCCCAUUCCUUGAUGUCUUUUCAAGCUAUUGGACAGAGAAACUCUGCCUUCCUCUACAUUUGAUUCAGUGAAGUGGCCAUGUAACACCCAGAGGAGCCAGGAAAUGAAGCACCACAGAGAAGGCAAAGCUGACGAAUGCAGAGAUUCUGAGUCCGGAUGGUAUUAUCUGAGCUGCUGGGUCCAGCCUCGUCCAGAGACAAACUACGCUUGAAUUCCCUCGUGGUGUAUAAAUGAAUACAUUCUCUGUUUCAAUUAUCCUUA